GAUUCUGUAACUAAUUUCAGGAACCACUUGAAGGCAAAAUCAUCACAAAGCUUCCAUCUUCAAUCUCCCACAACGGGAUUCGCCUCACUGUCAAUGGAUCAGUCACCUUACAGGUCCGUGGUGGAUCAGCUGGAGUGAUCGAGUCUUUAUAUGGUGUUCUCAAGCCUAUCCCAAUUGUGUUAGGUUUAAUGUUUGUGGGAGGCCUAGUUUUGGCAUAUGCUUCAGAACACCUGGGGAUUGGAUCAUUUUUGAGAGGUUUUGAAGAGCAUAUGUUUCUUAUGCUGAUUUUCUUAGGCUUGUAAGGAAAGCUAAUUUUUUUUUUGAGCAAUUGACUUAGAGGAUGCUCAACAUGCUGAUUUUCUUAGGCUUUGUAAGGAAAGCUUAUUUUUUUUUGUUGACAUGAAAUGUAUGUUUCUAGGAAGGAUGGUGAACAAUGUUAUGUUAUUG